rnacentral:lncRNA from 1 species
AUCUUCAAUGGCACCUUUGUGAAGCUCACCAAGACUUCACUUAACAUGCUGGAAACUGUGGAACCAUACAUUGUUUGGGGGUACCCAAAUCUAAAGUCCGUAAAUGAACUGAUCUGCAAGCGUGGCUAUGGCAAAAUCAACAAGAAGCGAAUUGCCCUGAUGGAUAACAUGUUGAUUGCUCGAUCCCCUGGUAAAUAUGGCAUCUUCUGCAUGGAGGAUCUGAUUCAUGAGAUCUGUACUGUUGGAAACUGUUUCAAAGAAGGAAACAACUUCCUGUGGCCCUUCAAACUGUCUUCUCCACAAGGUGGAAUGAAGAAAAAGACCACCCAUUUUGUAGAAAGCGGAAAUGCUGACAACAGGGAAGACCAGAUCAACAGGCUUAUUACAAGGAUGAACUAA